CAAAAAAAUCCUAGGAUCGAGUCCGAGAAAGACAGUGCCGGUUUGGGUGCUUGGCCGUUCCCGUGCAAACUCAAGAAAUAUGUAUUGCACCUGAUACGUUUCGGAAAAAAGAUUACCUAAUCUAAAAUAUGCGAUUGAAAUGAUAGUUACACAUAAGUAUAAAAUGCGAGAUAAUACAUAUAUAAAUCCUUCUGGUGUCAUCUUUGGGUGGCACAACAAAGGCCACAUUCCAUGCUCUCCAUAUAAGAGAUUAUAUUGUACUCACAACGAUAUUAAACAAGAAUGUAUACAAAAAUAUAACAUCGAAGAUUGGGAAUUGCAACCAUACUACGUGUUGUUAAAUGAAUAUAACCUGGUGUUUUAUGUUCCACAAUGUGUUAUAACAUCGACAUACAAAGAAAUGGAUAAACCAUAUAUUGAAAAGGGAUAAUCCAGAUUUUGGAAAUUUUUCUGUAAAUUUAAAGGUACUCAUUAUGUGC